rnacentral:rRNA from 1 species
UACAGAGGAGCCAAGCGUUGUCCGGAUUGACUGGGCGUAAAGGCGCACGCAGGCGGUUGCGCGACGGUGGGGAUGUGUAAAUCUGGACCGACUUAACGGCCAGGCGCCAUCCCAUACGGCGCGGAGCUGGAGGUGAUGGCUGAGAGGUCGAUGGAACGUUGACCGGUGUAGUGGUGAAAGUAGCGAUGACGGAGGAUACGGGC